GCAGCAGUGGGGAAUAUUGGGCAAUGGAGGGAACUCUGACCCAGCGACGCCGCGUGCGGGAUGAAGGCCUUCGGGUUGUAAACCGCUUUCAGCAGGGAAGAAGCGAAAGUGACGGUACUUGCAGAAGAAGCACCGGCUAACUAUGUGCCAGCAGCCGCGGUAAUACAUAGGGUGCAAGCGUUGUCCGGAAUUAUUGGGCGUAAAGAGCUCGUAGGUGGUUCGUCACGUCGGAUGUGAAAAUCUGGGGCUUAACCCCAGACCUGCAUUCGAUACGGGCGAGCUAGAGUGUGGUAGGGGAGACUGGAAUUCCUGGUGUAGCGGUGGAAUGCGCAGAUAUCAGGAGGAACACCAAUGGCGAAGGCAGGUCUCUGGGCCAUUACUGACACUGAGGAGCGAAAGCGUGGGGAGCGAACAGGAUUANAUACCCUGGUAGA
rnacentral:rRNA from 1 species